CAGAUUUUGAAACCAGAUUCACGGAUCCCAAAUCCUGUUUUCCAAUUCUUCUCUACAAACACGGGGAAAAUUAACCAAGGGACUCAUUGCCAAUUUUCCGCCUGCGCAGAGGAAAACUGGCAUCCUGGACUAACCCUAAUUUGAGUAAACUGGAAAGCUAGGAACAGAAGUGGAGUUGGGGACCAGCCUGUUUCCCACUUUGUGAUAUGCUGUUUAUCCUGAGAAAUUGACAAACAUCCAACUUCAGCCUCAGAUUGAGAAACUUUUAGAGUGGCCAUUCCUCCCGAAUUUUCAACUCACGUCCACCUAAUUGCUGCUCACCUUCCCAGGGUCUGUCCAGUCAGGAACAGUUUCAGAAUGUGGCUUUUUCAUCCCAGCUGCUUCCACAAUUCUAGGGCCCUUUUUCCUCUUCAGAAGAUUGACAACUGGACAUCUAUUGCCCAUUUGAAAAGAACCUACCUACAAUGGCCUUUGACCAAGCAGGCCUGCAUUCAGAACUAAAUAGUCAACGAAAGGGCACAUUUUCCAACCUCAACCCAGCUAGCUAAGAGUUUCCCAUGAUACCUUGAAGAGCAUCACUUUGCCACAUCCUCUACCCUUCUCUGUAUCUAUGGGCUAG
rnacentral:lncRNA from 10 species